UGAGUUGGCAGACAAAUAUGCAAAAAAUGCAACCAAAAAAACAGAGAUAGAUAUGGUAAUAAAUUAUAGUAAGGCGGAGGUUAAAAGUAUAAUCAAAGAAGAAAUGAGGAAGAAGUGGCAGGAAAAGUGGAAUAUGGAAACAAAAGCGAGAAUGUACUACAAUAUCCAGAAGAAGAGUAGUGAGUGAAGGCUAUUAGGAUCCACACUCCAUUUCAGAAGGUGGCGGUAAUGCACACUUAAAAGUUGUUUGCCAACCGCCAAUUUAAAAAA